CCCUUAGAUGUUCUGGGCGGCCCGCGCACUGCAUUGGCACUGGCAACAAGAUCCUAGAUCUGAUAUUUCGGGGUAUUCUACCAACUGGUGUCGUGACUGGGAUUAACCCCUGCAAUUAUUGGUUAUGAACGAGGAAUUCCUUGUAAUCACGGUUUAUCAACCCGUGUUGAAUGCGUCCCUGCCCUUUGUACACACCGCCCGUCGCUCCUACCGAUGAAUCGUCCGGUGAAGUUCAUGGAGUCGCGGCUGCUCCAGCUGUUUUCGAAGUGAAAUGGACCUCAUGAUUUAGAGGAAGGAGAAGUCGUAACA
rnacentral:rRNA from 1 species